GCCGGGCAUGGUGGUGCGUGCCUGUAAUCCUAGCUACUCAGGAGGCUGAGACAAGAGAAUAGCUUGAACCCGGGAGGUGGAGGUUGCAGUGAGCCAAGAUCGUGCCACUGCACUCCAGCCUGGGGUACAGAGCGAGACCCUGUCUCAA
rnacentral:SRP_RNA from 1 species